rnacentral:rRNA from 1 species
UACAGAGGUCCCAAGCGUUGUUCGGAUUCACUGGGCGUAAAGGGUGCGUAGGUGGUCGUGUAAGUCUGACGUGAAAUCUCCGAGCUUAACUCGGAAAUGGCGUUGGAUACUAUUCGGCUGGAGGGUUGGAAGGGGGACUGGAAUUCUCGGUGUAGCAGUGAAAUGCGUAGAUAUCGAGAGGAACACCGGUGGCGAAGGCGGGUCUCUGGGCAGUAACUGACGCUGAGAAGCGAAAGCGUGGGGAGCGAACAGG